rnacentral:rRNA from 1 species
GAUGAACGCUAGCUACAGGCUUAGCACAUGCAAGUCGAGGGGAAACGGGAUUGAGUGCGUGCACUCGUUGGACAUCGACCGGCGCACGGGUGAUUAACGCGAAUCCGACCUUCCCAUUACUGAUGGGAUAACCUGCCAAAAGGCAGACUAAUACCCCAUAUGCUUCGGUGACGGCAUCCACAUAUAAAGUAAAGAUUUAUCGGAAAUGGAUGGGGAUGCGUCUGAUUAGCUUGGUGGCGGGGCAACCGCCCACCCAGAGCAACGAUCGGUAUGGGUUCAGAAAGGAACGUCCCCCACAUUGGAACUGAGACACAGUCCAAACUCCUACAGGAGGCAGCAAUGAUGAAUAUUGGUCAAUGGACGGAAGUCUGAACCACCCAAGUAGCGUGCAGGAUGACGGCCCUAUGGGUUGUAAACUGCUUUUGUAUGGGGAUAAAGCUAGGGACAUGUCCCUAUUAGCAGGUACCAUACGAAUAGAGACCGGCUAAUUCCGUGCCAGCACCCGCGGUAAUACAGAAGGUCCACGCGUUAUCCAGAUUCAUUGCGUUUAAAGGGAGCGUACGCUGGAGAUUAACUGAGGUGUGAUAUGCAGACGCUCAACGUCUGAUUUGCAGCGCAUACUGCUUUCCUUGAGUACGCAACAAGGUUGGCAGAAUUUCCUCGUGUAGCAGUGAAAUGCUUAGAUAUGACGAAGAACUCCGAUGCGAAGGCAGCUGACGGGAGUACAACUGACGCUUAAGCUCGAAGGUGCGGGUAUCAAACAGGAUUAGAUACCCUGGUAGUCCGCACAGUAAACGAUGUAUGCCCGCUGUUGGUGAUUGGUUAUCAGCGGUUAAGCGAAAGCAUUAAGCAUCCCACCUGGGGAGUAGGCCGGCAGCGGUGAAACUCAUAAGGAAUUGACGGGGGCCCGCACAACAGGAGGAACAUGUGGUGGAAUUAGAUGAUACGCGAGGAACAUCAUCCGGGCUCGAAUUCCAGAGGAAGGAUUUGGAGAUAAUCACGCCCUUUGGGGUAUAUGAGAAGGUCACGCAUGGUGGUCGUCAGUUCUCACCGUGAGGUGUGGGAUUAAGUGCCAUAUCGAGCGCAACCCCUCCCCUCAGUUUCCAUCAGGUUAAGAAGGGCACUCUGGAGACACUGCCACCGUAAGGUGUGAGGAAGGUGGGGAUGACGUCAAAUCAUCACGGCCCUUACGUCCGGGGCUACACACGUGUUACAAUGGCCGGUACAGAGGGACGGCGUAAUGCAAAUUGCAUCAAAUCCCGAAAACCGGUUCCAGUUCGGAAUGGGGUUUGCAACCUGACCCCAGGAAGGUGGAUUUGGUAGUAAUCGGGCAUCAGCCAUGGCGCGGUGAAUACGUUCCCGGGCCU